UACGGGGGGGGCAAGCGUUGUUCGGAAUUACUGGGCGUAAAGGGCUCGUAGGCGGCCCUCUCAGUCGGAUGUGAAAUCCCCAGGCUUAACCUGGGAACGGCAUCCGAUACUGGAGGGCUUGAAUUCGGGAGAGGGAUGCAGAAUUCCAGGUGUAGCGGUGAAAUGCAUAGAUAUGACCCGGAACACCGAUUGCGAAGGCAGCCCGCUAAGCAACUAUUGACGCUGAGGCACGAAAGCGUGGGGAUCAAACAGG
rnacentral:rRNA from 1 species